GCGGAAGGAGCCAUCCAUUCCGAAGUGACUCUCUUUCUGGCCAAGGAUUGUCAGAGAUGAAGCUGGAGGAGCGAGCAGAUGGCUGGACAGACCUCAACCGGAUGGCAGUGGAGGACGGUGAUCGGAUCUUGGCUCCGGGCUAUAUGAAAGCGUGCAGAAGGUGUAAAUAAUUAAAAUAUUUAUAAAUACAAUUUAAAUAUGUAAAUUUAAUUGAUGGAACACACAAAUAUGAAUCAAUAAAAGAUGGUGAAUUCAA